rnacentral:rRNA from 1 species
GAUACUUAGCGGCGGACGGGUGAGUAACACGUGGGUAACCUGCCUAUAAGACUGGGAUAACAUUCGGAAACGAAUGCUAAUACCGGAUACGCGGUUUGGUCGCAUGACCGAAUCGGGAAAGAUGGAGCAAUCUAUCACUUAUAGAUGGACCCGCGGCGCAUUAGCUAGUUGGUGAGGUAACGGCUCACCAAGGCGACGAUGCGUAGCCGACCUGAGAGGGUGAUCGGCCACACUGGGACUGAGACACGGCCCAGACUCCUACGGGAGGCAGCAGUAGGGAAUCUUCCGCAAUGGACGAAAGUCUGACGGAGCAACGCCGCGUGAGUGAUGAAGGUUUUCGGAUCGUAAAGCUCUGUUGCCAGGGAAGAAUGCUUGGGAGAGUAACUGCUCUCAAGGUGACGGUACCUGAGAAGAAAGCCCCGGCUAACUACGUGCCAGCAGCCGCGGUAAUACGUAGGGGGCAAGCGUUGUCCGGAAUUAUUGGGCGUAAAGCGCGCGCAGGCGGCCUUGUAAGUCUGUUGUUUAAACUUGGGGCUCAACCCCAAGUCGCAAUGGAAACUGCAAAGCUUGAGUGCAGAAGAGGAAAGUGGAAUUCCACGUGUAGCGGUGAAAUGCGUAGA